UACAGAGGGCUCAAGCGUUGUUCGGAUUCAUUGGGCGUAAAGGGUGCGUAGGCGGCGAGGUAAGUCGGGUGUGAAAUCUCGGGGCUUAACUCCGAAACUGCAUUCGAUACUGCCGUGCUUGAGGACUGGAGAGGAGACUGGAAUUUACGGUGUAGCGGUGAAAUGCGCAGAUAUCAGGAGGAACACCGAUGGCGAAGGCAGGUCUCUGGGCCGAGACUGACGCUGAGGAGCGAAAGCGUGGGGAGCGAACAGG
rnacentral:rRNA from 1 species